AAUGAACGCUGGCGGCAGGCCUAACACAUGCAAGUCGAACGGAUCCUUCGGGAUUAGUGGCGGACGGGUGAGUAACGCGUGGGAACAUACCCUUUGGUACGGAAUAGCCUCGGGAAACUGGGAGUAAUACCGUAUGUGGUCGAGAGACGAAAGAUUUAUCGCCAAAGGAUUGGCCCGCGUUGGAUUAGGUAGUUGGUGGGGUAAUGGCCUACCAAGCCGACGAUCCAUAGCUUGUUUGAGAGGGUGAUCAGCCACACUGGGACUGAGGCACGGCCCAGACUCCUCAGGGAGGCAGCAGUGGGGAAUCUUAGACAAUGGGGGAAAGCCUGAUCUAGCCAUGCCGCGUGAUCGAUGAAGGCCUUAGGGUUGUAAAGAUCUUUCAGGUGGGAAGAUAAUGACUGUACCACCAGAAGAAGCCCCGGCUAACUCCGUGCCAGCCGCCGCCGUAA
rnacentral:rRNA from 1 species